GACGGAGGAGGCAAGCGUUAUCCGGAAUUACUGGGCGUAAAGAGCUCGUAGGUGGUUUGUCGCGUUGUUCGUGAAAACUCACAGCUCAACUGUGGGCGUGCGGGCGAUACGGGCAGACUUGAGUACUGCAGGGGAGACUGGAAUUCCUGGUGUAGCGGUGGAAUGCGUAGAUAUCAGGAGGAAUACCGGUGGCGAAAGCGACUCUCUGGACGGCAACUGACGCUGAGGCACGAAAGCGUGGGGAGCAAACAGG
rnacentral:rRNA from 1 species